CAAACACGCGUUUCAACUUCAGAUACAACACAACUGUCGUAAACAGCUGAAAAAUUGAACCUCUACGUACUAAAAAAAAAAGUCUUGCCGCUCUUUUAUAGAAGCUAAGUUUUGAAUACAUCUGGUCGCACACAUGACCAAACGGAGAGCAGAGGACAUUUUGCUUCCCGAAGUCCUCCAUAAAAGAUGUUUUCGUUCUCUCUCCGACAACGACAAACCGGUCGGAGGUGUGAACGUGAUCCAAAACGCAAAUCCACCCACGUUAUUGUCAGUGGCUGCACAACGCUGCAGGAAAAGACCGAGCUAUCUCGAUGAUUCACUGGAUACAGAUAACCUACCGAGAAAAGUGGCUGCAAACAGGGUUAAUUCAGUGCUGGCAGACAGGGACGCAUGCAAGUCUAGAACAUUCGAGGAUGAUGCUGGUAACGUUAGACCUGUCACGCGACGGUCAUCUCGCGCGCUUCAGACUGAGUCAAAAAAACGGACAGACGAAGGAAAUAACAUUACUGCAGGAGACAAGGUAAUGCACACAGAUGAGGACCUCUCUCUGUUCAAUUCUUUCCAGUUCUGGCGGGGUCCACUGCCUGAGUUGGAUCUCUCUCUCCUGGAUACUGAACCCUCAGCUGGGUCCUACAUAGCCUCUUCCACCAAAGACUUAGAGGCGAUGGAAACGUGAAGAGAUCCCCAAUACACAAUGACAUUCUUGUUAAGGUGUUGCAAAAUUACCUGCCUGGAUAUGAUGAGAUGAUUCCCCCUGGUCUGCACUAGAUGAACAUAAAAACAUAGCCUUGUGCUGUGUACAGUGUGGAGGCCUCCAGCAGAAGCUUCCAUUCUGGUGGAAAUACAUGAUGGUCACAUGACCUCAUAUUCCUGUCCUACAGAGGUCAAGUGUUCAGAAGUGUGAAAGCAUAUUAGAUUAAUCGUGAAUGUUGUUUUUUUUUUCUUUUUCUUUUUUUCCAGUAUAGCUGUGAAAGCAAUUAUAUGUGGUGACGCAAACCUUUCUUUUGCUUGGACUGAGCCUGAUUUGUUUUAUGUUUAUGGUGUUCAUUAGGUAUAUUCUUUAGGUGUUUCACUUUUGUAAACUUUAGGGCCUUGUUCUUUUCCUCUGAACAACAUUAUAAUUUUGACAACAGUAUGUGUUGCUUCUGAUCUUAGUAGAUACAGCAAGUGCUUUAUAUGUUCCAGUGGCCAGAAUCGUAAUUGCAGUAUUUGUGAAAUUGCUCAACAACAAUAAAAUGUAUUUCUUAUACAUGAUAUUGGCUUGCAAUGUCUUUGGUGACCUGUCUGAUU
rnacentral:lncRNA from 1 species